GCUCAAGAGUGGGCAGCAACAAAAAACCUAUUUGUAUAUGCUCCACAAGGGAAAACAAGGAACAUAGUUUACAAUGAGGUGUUAUAAUCACAACAGCAAGAAAAAUGUCAGGACCACCAGCUAAGAAAUGAUGUUGUUCAACUGAAGAGGUUAUUAGAGAAUUUCAAAAGUACUGGACUGAAGAGCCAAAUAAUGGAUCCCAAGCAGAGUCAAUGUAGCAUCAUUGAGUUCUUGAGGACAGACGAGUACAGGAUGUUCAACAUCAACAGAAGGCUGCAAGUUGUUUACAUCAUUGACAAACUCAGAUGGAUGUAGAAGUUUAAAGAAGUGGGAACUGGCAUUGAAGAUUACCCACAUAAUAAAAGAAAUCAGCUAUGACCACUGACAUAGAUUGCCAGUGAGUGGACAAACUGAUUUGUGCAAACAGAUAAGUCACGAUCUAUGUUCUUGCUGUGUAACUGGACUGUGACCACAAUAAUGUUACAGAAGAUGGUAGAAGAUUAUGGGUAUAAAAAAGUGUGUGAAUAUGAGCCCUUUGGCAGUUUAUACCUGAUCUGAGGGGGAAAAGAGUGGAAGUGCUGAGGCCAACGAAGUUACUUUUUCCGAAUCUGAGGGAAGAGGAUGAAACAUGGGUGUAGCUUUAUGAUGAAAGCUCAGUAUAUGGAAUGGUGUCACAGUCUUUCUCUAAGGUCUAUGAAGUUCAAGAGUAAUUAACUCAAAAAGUAUUUUGGGGAAUGACAAAGCCAUCAUUCUUCUUGAUUUUCUUGAAUGUGGCUACAUUGUAUACAAAAAAAAAACAGUACAUUGAUUCAUUGAAAAAGCUUAGAGAAGCUUUUAGGAGGAAGAGGCUGAACAAGACUCUGAAAACAAUCCAUAUUCAGAAUGACAGUGCAUGACCACACAUAUGUUUGGUAACAAAUCAAGGAAUCAGCAAACUGGAUUAGUCAGUGGUCUCCUAUUCAUUGUACAGUCCAAAUAUAAAUUUGGUCCCAUGAAGAACUACAGACUUUGGGAACAAUGAUUUGAUGACACAGACGAGAUGAAAGUGGCUGUGAACAAAUAGAUGCAACAGUGCAGAUCUGAGUUUUUUCAAAGAGGACUCAAGAGUUGGUUUCAACAAUAGCACAAAUGCAUCCCUUGUGAUAAAGACCAUCUUCAGUAGUACCUUCGUUCUACUCAAUAAAUAAAAGAUUUACUAUUCCAGCAUGUGGAAUUUGAACAACCUUUGUCAAUUAAUAAAAAAAUGUUAUGCCCAUUUCUGCAUUACUUUCACAAUACCUUUCAUAUACACAGUGGACCCUUGAUUUAAUACUCACCUUCUUGU